UACGGGGGGAGCAAGCGUUGUUCGGAUUUACUGGGCGUAAAGGGCGCGUAGGCGGCCACCGCAAGUCGACUGUGAAAUCUCCGGGCUUAACCCGGAAAGGUCAGCCGAUACUGCGGGGCUAGAGUGCAGAAGGGGCAACUGGAAUUCUCGGUGUAGCGGUGAAAUGCGUAGAGAUUGGGAAGAACACCGGUGGCGAAAGCGCUCUACUGGGCCUGCACUGACACUCAUGGACGAAAGCUAGGGGAGCGAAAGGG
rnacentral:rRNA from 1 species